UGCACGCGCUCAGCUACUCGAGCGCUGCGGUAUGUAGAGGGAAAAUAACCCAGGCCUCAAAAAUAUCAAAAAAUCUAAAAAAAUUAGAAAAAUGUACUACAGAUAAUGAAUUAUGUGUACAUGGUGGAUUUGAAAGCGACAGCACUUCGGCAGAGCUUGCGCCCGGUUGGGAUUUCGAAAGUUGCCUCCAUCGACAAAUGCAGUCCUCGAAAGUUCGUGGACGAUGCUGAUUCAAAACUGCCCUCUAGUUGCACUAGGAGUUGGAUGUGUGACAUGUGGCCAUUCUCUCUCUCAGAAUCUGCC
rnacentral:lncRNA from 1 species